rnacentral:rRNA from 1 species
GAGUUUGAUCCUGGCUCAGAUUGAACGCUGGCGGCAUGCCUUACACAUGCAAGUCGAACGGCAGCAUGAUCUAGCUUGCUAGAUUGAUGGCGAGUGGCGAACGGGUGAGUAAUACAUCGGAACGUGCCCUGUAGUGGGGGAUAACUAGUCGAAAGAUUAGCUAAUACCGCAUACGACCUGAGGGUGAAAGUGGGGGACCGCAAGGCCUCAUGCUAUAGGAGCGGCCGAUGUCUGAUUAGCUAGUUGGUGGGUAAAGGCCCACCAAGGCGACGAUCAGUAGCUGGUCUGAGAGGACGAUCAGCCACACUGGGACUGAGACACGGCCCAGACCCCUACGGGAGGCAGCAGUGGGGAAUUUUGGACAAUGGGCGAAAGCCUGAUCCAGCAAUGCCGCGUGUGUGAAGAAGGCCUCGG